ACAUAGAAAGUAGAGGGUUACCAAGGUCUAUAUCACAUUCUUCCAUCUUAGAGAAGCCAAAUAGUAAAGAUUAACUGAGCCUCCUAAAAAGACUCAAUGUCCAAACGUUCUGUUGUAUAUGCCAAAGACAUGAAAAACUGAAAAGAUGAGAGUCCCAUUGAGAAAUUUUUUUUGUCGGGAUAUACAAGGUAUCAUGAGAGCAAAUAUUCACUGCUGUAAGAUCAGCUUCUAGGACAUAAUGGGGCAAGACACAUGGUUAGUCAUCUGACAUGGAACAGACAAGGGGGAAGAGAAGCAGCAGCCAAGUGAGAUGGGAGGAUGGAGAGUUAGAAAACACAUGAAGAAAAUGAUCGAUAUUGUCAAAUGCUUCCAACAGGAAAGGGAGAUAAGCAAGUAAGAAUCACUAUUGGAUUAGGUGGUGUCAAGGCCUAUGCUGACCUUGAGAACUGCAAUUUUGGGGGAAUUAUGGGGAUUUAAGCCUGACUAAAGUGUGUUUG